GUCAAUGAACUGAACAGCAGAAAGAGAGUAGGCUAGAAUUUAGGAAAUUGCACAGUACUUAUAAUAAUUAUGUGUGUAUGUGUAAAACAAUGUGCUACAGAAUAUUUUCAGUGAUUGCCUACAACCCACAAGUGGAAUGAGGGAUUUUUUUUUUCCCUCCAAGAUCUAUAAUUUCAUUGGUGCAGAGAGCACCCAAGGGGGAAGCUUCCACUACCAAUGGCAACUGUUCUGCAGUUUGCAGCCUUAAUGGAAUUACCUAGGGGUUACUGAGAGGUAGAAUGACUUGCUUCAAGACACAGAACCAACACGUCAGAGAUGGCCUAGAACCUGGGUCUUCUUCACUUUGAGGCUACUCUCCAACCACUGUCCUAUACUGCCUCUCAUGUCUAAGGGAUAUAUCAUCUAGGUCUAAAAAAUGUGCAGUCAGAAAAGGAGGAUCUAUGAAACAACAAAAGACAAGCAUCACAAGAGAGAAGAAGGCGUGGAUGAGCUGCAAUCUGAACCAGUGAAAGAAGUGCACAUCGGUGAGGUCAGAGCCACUGGAGCACAACACUUCUGCAAGUAACAUAAGGAUUAUUAGCCUCAUUUUACAUAGGAAGAAACUGAGCCCAUGAGAAAUCAAAACAUUUGUCCAAGGCCUCACUGGAAAUCAGUAGCAGGAUGUGGAUCAUUUUACAUCUGGCUGCCACUCUAUGAAGCCACAUCCCCCUCGUCCUCAUAGGGCUUCAGUCUGAAGGGGAGGCACUGGGGAUCGUGCUUCCCAGGAGCCAAUUUCAGGUUUGGCAGAAAACGGGCAAAGAAGAGAAACACCAAAAUCAUCCUCUUUCCUCUCCGCCAUGCUCUUCCUGAAAGAACUGAGCAUCCUUAUAUGAAGAAAUGGAAGAGCCACGUUCUAAGUUUGGUGCUGUGUAUAUACUGACUCCAGGAGUCAGGAGACGUAGGUUCUAGUCUUCUGGGACGAUGGUGGUUACACUGAAUGAGGCCCAGUAAUGGUUUGCAAAGCCUGCAUGCAGAAACUAGGGACGCAGGAAAGAGACCUAGACACCAGAAUGGCUGCUCUGCCUGUUGUAUCUUAGGCUUCAGCAAAUAACUACCAAGUCAUUUUCUUCAGUAGGAUUCAGUUUUACCAGCCUUCAUUCUAACUAAUGUCAACUUUCAAUUGCUUCAGGACUCACAAUCCAGUUUAUCAACGUUCCAAGACUCUUUGUAAAAUGUUUUGUAAAUCUUAAGGUGCCAUAGAAAUGUGGGUUAUUAUUAGUUCUUCCCAUCACUUUCGGCCACCAUUUCUUUGCCAUCUUUACCAGAAAGUAGGGAGGGUAGAGGAGAGAAUUGAAAGUUCAAUUCCGCUCCCGAACAGAUGAGGCUCAGAGAAAUUAAGGAACUUAUUUGAUUAGUCAUAUAGCUUUUAGGUGGUGGACCUAGGAUUGAACUCAGAUCUUCUGGCAUCAAGAUUACUGCUCUUUCCACAAUCUGCUGCCUUGAAUAAGUUAGAAGAAAGAAAAAGUUGACACUACGGGAUAAAGCAAGGCUUUUGAACUAUUUGUGGCUUUAAAUGAUUAUUAUCACCCAUUAACCUGAUCAAUAAGGAUGUGAGAAUAGGUGUGAGAUAAAUGUGUAGGGAAAAUGAACUGGACAACUUUGGUAAAAUAUCUUAAAAGGAGAACACUUAAAAAGCAUGCAAAUCUGUCACGUGAAAGUAAUGUGAAGACAGGAAAUGCAAAGUAACUGCCCAAAGUAGGCUCCCUCAGCUACCAUGCAACAUAUGGUAUUCACUAUUAAGUUAUCAGCUUAAAUGCACUAAUGCUACAUGGCCCACUGUGUGCAAGUCAGUGCAGGACAAAUUGGCCAGUGGUGCCCACAAGACCUCUGAGAGCAUGGGAGGCCUGGGAACCUAUUCAUUAGUUCUUGGCAAUCAACACCAUAACAAAGUCCAUUCCCAGGAUGUAGCUGAAUUCAAGGCAUAGUGUGUUUACUGAUCUACUGUAAGAGUUUAAAUGUGAAAUCAUAUUAUAAAAUGGUAACAAUUUGUGGUUGUGUUGAAGUACAAAAAGAUCCACACAGUUUUUACAAGUAGUGUGGGAGGUGGGGGAAGAGAUUACUGGCCAUAUGAGCAACAAGAUAAUGGAUGAGGUAUUUUCUCUGAUGCCCAUGACCUCCCAAACCUCCCUAAAACAGAAAUUAUGUGCCAAAAAUAAAGCAUAUGUGCCAAAAAUAAAGCAAUGUCAGCUGUCUCCCUGG